rnacentral:rRNA from 1 species
AUUGAACGCUGGCGGCAGGCUUAACACAUGCAAGUCGAACGGUAGCAGGAGAAAGCUUGCUUUCUUGCUGACGAGUGGCGGACGGGUGAGUAAUGCUUGGGAAUCUGGCUUAUGGAGGGGGAUAACGACGGGAAACUGUCGCUAAUACCGCGUAUUAUCGGAAGAUGAAAGUGCGGGACUGAGAGGCCGCAUGCCAUAGGAUGAGCCCAAGUGGGAUUAGGUAGUUGGUGGGGUAAAUGCCUACCAAGCCUGCGAUCUCUAGCUGGUCUGAGAGGAUGACCAGCCACACUGGAACUGAGACACGGUCCAGACUCCUACGGGAGGCAGCAGUGGGGAAUAUUGCGCAGUGGGGGAACCCUGACGCAGCCAUGCCGCGUGAAUGAAGAAGGCCUUCGGGUUGUAAAGUUCUUUCGGUAUUGAGGAAGGUUGAUGUGUUAAUAGCACAUCAAAUUGACGUUAAAUACAGAAGAAGCACCGGCUAACUCCGUGCCAGCAGCCGCGGUAAUACGGAGGGUGCGAGCGUUAAUCGGAAUAACUGGGCGUAAAGGGCACGCAGGCGGUUAUUUAAGUGAGGUGUGAAAGCCCCGGGCUUAACCUGGGAAUUGCAUUUCAGACUGGGUAACUAGAGUACUUUAGGGAGGGGUAGAAUUCCACGUGUAGCGGUGAAAUGCGUAGAGAUGUGGAGGAAUACCGAAGGCGAAGGCAGCCCCUUGGGAAUGUACUGACGCUCAUGUGCGAAAGCGUGGGGAGCAAACAGG